AUUGAACGCUGGCGGUAUGCUUAACACAUGCAAGUCGAACGGCAGCAGCAGAAAGCUUGCUUUCUGGCUGGCGAGUGGCGGACGGGUGAGUAAUGCAUAGGAAUCUGCCUAGUAGUUGGGGAUAACUUGGGGAAACCCAAGCUAAUACCGAAUGUGCCCUACGGGGUAAAGCGGGGGAUCUUCGGACCUCGUGCUAUUAGAUGAGCCUAUGUCCGAUUAGCUAGUUGGUGAGGUAAUGGCCCACCAAGGCGACGAUCGGUAGCUGGUCUGAGAGGAUGAUCAGCCACACUGGGACUGAGACACGGCCCAG
rnacentral:rRNA from 1 species